GAAUAUUGGGCAAUGGGCGAAAGCCUGACCCAGCAACGCCGCGUGAGGGAUGAAGGCCUUCGGGUCGUAAACCUCUGUCGGGAGGGAAGAACGUCCUCGGGGUGAACAAUCCCGGGGGCUGCCGGUACCUCCAAAGGAAUCGCCGGCUAACUCCGUCCCCGCACCCGCGGUAAUACGGAGGGCGCAAGCGUUGUUCGGAAUCAUUGGGCGUAAAGCGCGUGUAGGCGGCUUGGCAAGUCGAGUGUGAAAGCCCGGGGCUCAACCCCGGAAGGUCGCUCGAAACUGCCUCGCUCGAGUCCCGGAGAGGAAGGCGGAAUUCCCGGUGUAGAGGUGGAAUUCGUAGAUAUCGGGAGGAACACCAGCGGCGAAGGCGGCCUUCUGGACGGUGACUGACGCUGAGACGCGAAAGCGUGGGGAGCAAACAGG
rnacentral:rRNA from 1 species